rnacentral:misc_RNA from 1 species
AAAAAAAAAAGAAUUUCUCUUUUUUUUAGAGAAAGAGAUAGCUAAUUAGCUCUAAGUGAAACUUUCCCAUUAACUAACAAGAUCAUCUAUCAUUUGAUUCGACUUCAAAAGGCACACGACCUUAAUUAAACUCCUUUCUUUCUUGCUUUUGACAGAUGUGACUGCUCAAAUUAUCCUGAAAGUUCUAAAGCUCUGAUGCGCUAUAUAUAUAUCCACAAAAGUGAAAAUGAUAAUUGACGUUCUAUUAUUUCAUGUGAAUGAAAUUGGAGCACCAACAAUGGCUGCGAUUCCUCCAUUUGAAUGAUAAAUCGCAGAAGAUUAUGUGACCCUUAGCUCUAAUAAAAGGCAAUUAACUAUUGUAUCAUCCUUCUAGUUCUGCCUUAUUGUAUCUAAAAGAUUAUAAUCCUGUCAUCAAUAGUUAUUAUGAGUUAAGAGACAAAAGCAUGAUUUCAUGGUCAUGAUCACUCAAGUCACCAACCGCUGAAUAACUAAAAAGAAGGUACCAGAUGAAGAAAAUAUCUUCUUAAAGGUCCUAGCUAGAUACCCUAAUUAAGGGGGCGGUUCAAGAAAAAAGAAUAAAUUAAGUAGAACUUGUA